CAGCCGCCGCGGGAAAACGGAGGGGGCUAGCGUUGUUCGGAAUUACUGGGCGUAAAGCGUACGUAGGCGGCUUUGUAAGUUAGAGGUGAAAGCCUGGUGCUCAACACCAGAACUGCCUUUAAGACUGCAUCGCUUGAACGUCGGAGAGGUGAGUGGAAUUCCGAGUGUAGAGGUGAAAUUCGUAGAUAUUCGGAAGAACACCAGUGGCGAAGGCGGCUCACUGGACGACUGUUGACGCUGAGGUACGAAAGCGUGGGGAGCAAACAGGAUUAGAUACCCGUGUAGUCCCUGUCUCUUAUAC
rnacentral:rRNA from 1 species